rnacentral:lncRNA from 1 species
UUCUUGCUCCUGCUUGUGCCAUGCAAAGUGCCUGCUCCUGCUUCACCUUUUGCCAUGAAUGAAAGUUCCCUGAGGCCUACCCAGAAGCAGAUGCUGUUAUGCUUCCUGUACAGCCUGCAGAACCAUGAGCCAAAUAAACCUCUUUUCUUAUAAAUCAUCCAGUCUCAGAUAUUUCUUUAUAGUAAUGCAAGAACAAUAUAACACAGACACUGAAAAUGAAGUGGCAUAGAGAGAAAACACAGGAGGCUGUCCAAUGCAUUUUGUGCUAGGAUUGAGUCACUGUUGUGUAUAAAUCUUUUCAGCAUCAGUCUACAAAGGAAUGAAUAAGUAAAUGAAUGUCUGAAUGAACAAAUCAGUGAAUGAUCAAAGAAUCAAUGGACUGAAAGAUGAAUCAACAAUGAGAAUAGUAAAAUGACAAUGUACCAUCAUCAGUUCACAGGUAUAAUGAGUGUCUGCCUGUGUGUGCAUGAAAGAGGAAGAGCCAAAGGAUUGAUGGGUGUAAUAGGGAUACAGAGUGUUACUCUGGCUCUUAGAGAGGAAUUAGUGACAAACUAAGGAGGAGUCACAAGCCCCAAAGUGCCUCAGAAGCCCUCAUUCCUAGAAUGGCAACAGACUUGUGUAGCAGCUGCACCCUCACAGCUGACAGCUGUCAUGUUUAACUCUCCCCUUCCCCGUCCAACCACAGGGUAUGGAGUACGAAGGUCCCAAGUCAAAGGAUGUUUCACUCAACCAGCCUUUCUCUGAGAAGCCUCAAUGUUUACUCUCUGACACUACAAAAGGGUCACUUACAGAGUAUAUAACUAAUGUAUUAAUGCAGAUGAAAUCCUGUGCCUCUGAAAGACUAGGGACCCAGAAUUAGCUAAAAUAAUACUUCAUAUGCACUGUAUGGUGGAGUUGCAAAACUGUGGCUAUAUAGAAUUAGGUGACCUCCAGCUUGAUUUCAUCUAGCCAGUAGAUACAGUCUGGCUCUGUGUCUCCACCCAGAUCUCACUUUGAAUUGUAAUAAUCCCGACGUGUCAAGGGUGGGACGAGGUGGAGGUAAUUAGAUCAUGGGGAUGGUUUCCCCCACGCUGUUCUCGUGGUAGUGAGUGACUCUUACAAGAUUUGAUGGUUUUAUAAGCAUCUGGCAUUUCCCCUGCUUGCACUCAUUCUCUCUCCUCUCGCCCUGUGAAGAGAUGCCUUCCACCAUGAUUGUAAGUUUACUGAGGCUUCCCCAGCCAUGUGGAACUGUGAGUCAAUUCAACCUCUUUUCUUUAUAAGUUACCCAGUCUUGGGUAGUUCUUCAUAGCAGCAUCACAAGGGACUAAUCCACCAAUCUAUGGGAGGAAAAUGUUUCCCAAUGCCCUGUUGUGACUGACCUCUUCUGAGUGAAUAUCAAGUUCUCAAGUGAUGGAGGGAAGCAAAUACCAGGAUCACAUAGGGAGCUUUGUAGAAUCUCAUGCUCUAGGCAUUCCAGUGCUAGAGUGGCUGGCAUAAAAUUAUAAAUUAAUCGGUAAAAAUAAUUGUUUUCUACAAAGAGCAAAACACCAAUUUUAGGACAUUGGUCACACAAUCUGAUUGAAAGGAAAAAAAAAAAAAAAA